UCAGACGAUGCGUCAUGCAUAUCAAUAAGCGGAGGAAAAGAAACUAACAAGGAUUCCCCUAGUAACGGCGAGUGAAGCGGGAAGAGCUCAAAUUUGAAAUCUUAAAGGGUUUCCCUUUACGAAUUGUAGUUUAAAGAAGUGUUUUCUGUUGAGGUUUUGGUAAAAGUUCUUUGGAAUAGGACAUCAUAGAGGGUGAGAAUCCCGUAUUUGACCUUUACUUUCAACUUUGUGAUACACUUUCAAAGAGUCGGAUUGUUUGGGAAUGCAGUCCAAAAUGGGUGGUAAAUUUCAUCUAAAGCUAAAUAUUGGCGAGAGACCGAUAGCGAACAAGUACCGUGAGGGAAAGAUGAAAAGAACUUUGAAAAGAGAGUUAAACAGUACGUGAAAUUGUCAAAAGGGAAGCGUUUGACACCAGUGUUGUUUUUCUGAAAAUCAAUUAAAGAACUGUUUAUGCUAAGCUGUUUAGACUUUAUCAGCUAUCUGUUUAGUUUUGAGCUUUUCUUUAAUGCACUUUUCAGUUAACAAGUCAACAUCAAUUUCUUUUGCUGUAAAAAAGCUUGAGGAAGGUGGCUUGAGAUUCGUCUUAAGUGUUUAUAGCCUCUUGCCUAUGCAGUCGGAGAGAUUGAGGUCUGCAGCGUAGAUCCUUCGGGGCUAAAUGCAUUUGUGCUAAGUUAUAGCAUUUUAUAGACAACUUGUUGACUAUGAUUUGUCUUGUAGCUUACUCGCUUAUGUUAUUUUACCUACGCUUAGGAUGUUGACACACGCGCGUGCUCGG
rnacentral:rRNA from 1 species